AAGUCGUCCUGUUGCUAAUAGCAGAAUCCUGAAAGCUGCUGAAACUUAGAAGCUGAUUUUGUCACAGUGUAAGAUGACUUUGGAAAAUUCUGCAUUCCUUUUAGAUGAAUCUUUACAACUUGGUGAUUGUGAACUUGCCUGACCUACUUGGCUGCACAAAAGCAACUUGGUAGUUUACCGAAAUUUUAAUAGAUCAAAACAAUGAUUGCACUGCAAAAAGAGGAAUAUUUGUGGCCUUGACAGUGUAAGUUUUGGUAGUAUUUAUGUGCAUCUGGUGGCCUCAUUGAUGAAGUAUAUGUCAUAACGUUGUUAUAAGAUUUAUACGUAUUAGUUGUAAGUUAUUAAACAUCUCAUGAGCUGACCCUAAACCUAUUAUUUUCAUAGUAUUACUUAAUCAAAUUAUUUGACGGGUCCCUGUAGUUUUAUAGCACUGAUAAAAUUCUGUACUUCUUUUGAGUUGAUACAAUUUACUCUCUUUUUCUGGAGACCCAUCUCAGAAAUUUACAUAAAGUGCCUCUUAAAAAUAA
rnacentral:lncRNA from 1 species